AAACUUUUAAAGGAUAAUAGUCAAUCCACUGGUCUUAGGAGCCAUCCAUCUUGGUGCAAAUCCAAGUAAAAGUA
rnacentral:tRNA from 1 species